ACGAACGCUGGCGGCGUGCUUAACACAUGCAAGUCACGGGGGGUAGCAAUACCAACCGGCGAACGGGUGCGUAACACGUGAGCAAUCUGCCGAUGUCUGGGGGAUAGCCGGCCCAACGGCCGGGUAAUACCGCAUACGCUUGCUUUGAGGAGUCUUGAGGCAAGGAAACCUCCGGGGGACAUCGAGGAGCUCGCGGCCUAUCAGCUAGUUGGCGGGGUAAUGGCCCACCAAGGCGAUGACGGGUAGCUGGUCUGAGAGGAUGGCCAGCCACAUUGGGACUGAGAAACGGCCCAGACUCCUACGGGAGGCAGCAGUGGGGAAUCUUGCGCAAUGGCCGAAAGGCUGACGCAGCGACGCCGCGUGUGGGAGGACGCCCUUCGGGGUGUAAACCACUGUUGCCCGGGACGAACCUCCUCUUUCGAGAGGACUGACGGUACCGGGUGAGGAAGCACCGGCUAACUCCGUGCCAGCAGCCGCGGUAAUACGGAGGGUGCGAGCGUUGUCCGGAAUCACUGGGCGUAAAGGGCGCGUAGGCGGCGCGGGAAGUCGUCGGUGAAAGCUCAGGGCUCAACUCUGAGUCGGCCGGUGAUACUCCCGUGCUUGAGCACUGUAGAGGCAGGUGGAAUUCCGGGUGUAGCGGUGGAAUGCGUAGAGAUCCGGAAGAACACCGGUGGCGAAGGCGGCCUGCUGGGCAGUAGCUGACGCUGAUGCGCGACAGCGUGGGGAGCAAACAGGAUUAGAUACCCUGGUAGUCCACGCCGUAAACGAUGGGCACUAGGUGCUUGGGGGAGCGACCCUCUGAGUGCCGGCGCUAACGCAUUAAGUGCCCCGCCUGGGGAGUACGGCCGCAAGGCUGAAACUCAAAGGAAUUGACGGGGGCCCGCACAAGCGGUGGAGCAUGUGGUUCAAUUCGAAGCAACGCGCAGAACCUUACCUAGGCGUUGACAUGCCAGAGGAACGCUUUCCAGAGAAAUGAUUCCUUCCUUCGGGGACUUCUGCACAGGUGGUGCAUGGCUGUCGUCAGCUCGUGUCGUGAGAUGUUGGGUUAAGUCCCGCAACGAGCGCAACCCUCGUUCCAUGUUGCCAGCGAGUUAAGUCCGGGGACUCAUGGGAGACUGCCGGGUGCAACUCGGAGGAAGGUGGGGAUGACGUCAAGUCAUCAUGGUCCCUUAUGUCCUAGGGCUUCACACAGUGCUACAAUGCUCGGUACAGAGGGCUGCGAUAACCGCGAGGUGGAGCGAAUCCCAUAAAGCCGGAUCUCAGUGCGGAUCGGAGGUCUGCAACUCGACCUCCAUGAAGUCGGAAGUCGCUAGUAAUCGCAGAUCAGCAUUACUGCACGGUGAAUACGUUCCCGGGCCUUGUACACACCGCCCGUCACGUCACGGAAGUCGGCAGCAGCCCGAAGUCCGGUGUCCGGAACCCGCAAGGGACAAGGGAGCCGUCGAGGUGGGCUGGCGAUUGGGACG
rnacentral:rRNA from 1 species